rnacentral:rRNA from 1 species
UGAUGAAGGCCUUAGGGUUGUAAAGCUCUUUCACCGAUGAAGAUAAUGACGGUAGUCGGAGAAGAAGCCCCGGCUAACUUCGUGCCAGCAGCCGCGGUAAUACGAAGGGGGCUAGCGUUGUUCGGAAUUACUGGGCGUAAAGCGCACGUAGGCGGAUAUUUAAGUCAGGGGUGAAAUCCNUGCAGCUCAACUGCGGAACUGCCUUUGACUACUGGUGUAUCUUGAGUAUGGAAGAGGUAAGUGGAAUUCCGAGUCGUAGAGGUGAAAUUCGUAGAUAUUCGGAGGAACACCAGUGGCGACAGGCGGCUUGACUGGUCCAUUGACUGACGCUGCAGGUGCGAAAGCGUGGGGAGCAAACAGGNGUAGAUACCAU